rnacentral:rRNA from 1 species
CCUACGGGGGGCAGCAGUGGGGAAUAUUGCACAAUGGGGGAAACCCUGAUGCAGCAACGCCGCGUGAGUGAAGAAGUAUUUCGGUAUGUAAAGCUCUAUCAGCAGGGAAGAAGAAAGACGGUACCUGACUAAGAAGCCCCGGCUAACUACGGGACAGCAGCCGCGGCAAUACGUAGGGGGCAAGCGUUAUCCGGAUUUACUGGGUGGAAAGGGAGCGUAGACGGCUGUGCAAGUCUGAAGUGAAA